CCACGGGCUCGCCUAUCGGUGAAGGCAAGGCGCUGUAAACGCCCGCUUGCGCUGUGGUGAUUCGACUCCGCCCCCGUGGACCA
rnacentral:tRNA from 1 species